rnacentral:rRNA from 1 species
CUGUUCGCCAUUUAAAGUGGUACGCGAGCUGGGUUUAGAACGUCGUGAGACAGUUCGGUCCCUAUCUGCCGUGGGCGCUGGAGAACUGAGGGGGGCUGCUCCUAGUACGAGAGGACCGGAGUGGACGCAUCACUGGUGUUCGGGUUGUCAUGCCAAUGGCACUGCCCGGUAGCUAAAUGCGGAAGAGAUAAGUGCUGAAAGCAUCUAAGCACGAAACUUGCCCCGAGAUGAGUUCUCCCUGAGACUUUARGUCUCCUGAAGGAACGUUGAAGACGACGACGUUGAUAGGCCGGGUGUGUAAGCGCAGCGAUGCGUUGAGCUAACCGGUACUAAUGAACCGUGAGGCUUAACCUU